AGAAUGAACGCUGGCGGCGUGCUUUACACAUGCAAGUUGAGCGAGGCCACCCGCAAGGGUGAGUCGAGCGGCGAACGGGUGAGUAACGCGUGGAUGACCUGCCCUUUAGUGGGGGAAUAACCCGGGGAAACUCGGGCUAAUACCGCAUAAGACCGAGAGGUGAAAGCGGGGUCGCAAGAUCUCGUGCUAAAGGAGGGGUCCGCGUUCGAUUAGCUAGUUGGUAGGGUAAUGGCCUACCAAGGCGACGAUCGAUAGCCGGCCUGAGAGGGUGAUCGGCCACACUGGAACUGAGACACGGUCCAGACUCCUACGGGAGGCAGCAGUGGGAAUUUGCGCAAUGGGCUAACGCCUGACGCAGCAACGCCGCGUGGAGGAUGGAAGGUCUUUGGAUUGUAACUCCUGUCAGCAAGGGAAAAAGGAGUGGACCUAAUACGUCCGCAACUUGAUUGUACCUGCAGAGGAACGCCCCGGCUAACUCUGUCGCCGAGCACGCCGACGGUAAUCGUGAGGCGGCGUA
rnacentral:rRNA from 1 species